rnacentral:rRNA from 1 species
UGGGGAAUAUUGCACAAUUGGCGCAAGCCUGAUGCAGCCAUGCCGCGUGUAUGAAGAAGGCCUUCGGGUUGUAAAGUACUUUCAGCGGGGAGGAAGGGAGUAAAGUUAAUACCUUUGCUCAUUGACGUUACCCGCAGAAGAAGCACCGGCUAACUCCGUGCCAGCAGCCGCGGUAAUACGGAGGGUGCAAGCGUUAAUCGGAAUUACUGGGCGUAAAGCGCACGCAGGCGGUUUGUUAAGUCAGAUGUGAAAUCCCCGGGCUCAACCUGGGAACUGCAGCUGAUACUGGCAAGCUUGAGUCUCGUAGAGAGGGGUAGAAUUCCAGGUGUAACGGUGAAAUGCGUAGAGAUCUGGAGGAAUACCGGUGGCGAAGGCGGCCCCCUGGACGAAGACUGACGAUCAGGUGCGAAAGCGUGGGGAGCAAACAGG